ACUCCUACGGGAGGCAGCAGUGGGGAAUCUUGCGCAAUGGGCGAAAGCCUGACGCAGCAACGCCGCGUGCGGGAUGAAGGCCUUCGGGUUGUAAACCGCUUUCAGUGGGGACGAACCAAGACGGUACCCACAGAAGAAGCCCCGGCCAACUACGUGCCAGCAGCCGCGGUAACACGUAGGGGGCAAGCGUUGUCCGGAUUCAUUGGGCGUAAAGAGCUCGUAGGCGGUUCGAUAAGUCGGGUGUGAAACCUCCAGGCUCAACCUGGAGACGCCACCCGAUACUGUCGUGACUAGAGUCCAGUAGGGGAGCGUGGAAUUCCUGGUGUAGCGGUGAAAUGCGCAGAUAUCAGGAGGAACACCAGCGGCGAAGGCGGCGCUCUGGGCUGGCACUGACGCUGAGGAGCGAAAGCGUGGGGAGCGAACAGGAUUAGAUACCCUGGUAGUCCACGCCGUAAACGUUGGGUACUAGGUGUGGGGUCUUAUCAACGGAUUCCGUGCCGAAGCUAACGCAUUAAGUACCCCGCCUGGGGAGUAC
rnacentral:rRNA from 1 species